UAUUCGGUAGCAAUACUGAGUAUUUUUAGUGGCGAAAGGGUGCGUAACACGUGGGUAAUCUACCGUAAAGUUCGGAAUAACUUCGAGAAAUCAAAGCUAAUACCGAAUGUGAUCUGACAGGGACAUCCCUGUUCCAUUAAAGCUAGGGACCUUCGGGCCUGGCGCUUUACGAUGAGCCCGCGCCCUAUCAGCUUGUUGGUGAGGUAAAAGCUCACCAAGGCUAAGACGGGUAGCCGGUCUGAGAGGACGAUCGGCCACACUGGAACUGAGACACGGUCCAGACACCUACGGGUGGCAGCAGUCGAGAAUCAUUCACAAUGGGGGAAACCCUGAUGGUGCGACGCCGCGUGGGGGAUGAAGGUCUUCGGAUUGUAAACCCCUGUCAUUUGUGAACAAACCUUUUGGUUUAAUAGAUCAAAAGCUGAUAGUAGCAAAAGAGGAAGGGACGGCUAACUCCGUGCCAGCAGCCGCGGUAAUACGGAGGUCCCAAGCGUUGUUCGGAUUUACUGGGCGUAAAGGGUGCGUAGGUGGCCAGGAAAGUUUGAUGUGAAAGCUCCGAGCUCAACUCGGAAAAUGCAUUGAAUACUACUUGGCUUGAGGAUCGGAGGGGAGACUGGAAUUCUCGGUGUAGCAGUGAAAUGCGUAGAUAUCGAGAGGAACACCAGUGGCGAAGGCGAGUCUCUGGACGAUUCCUGACACUGAGGCACGAAAGCUAGGGGAGCAAACAGGAUUAGAUACCCUGGUAGUCCUAGCCGUAAACGGUGCACACUUGCUGUAGGAGGAUUCGACCCCUUCUGUGGCGGAGCAAACGCG
rnacentral:rRNA from 5 species